rnacentral:rRNA from 1 species
CUUGUUGAUAUUAUGAUAAGUAAGGCCUGCCCAGUGAUAAUAUAAACGGCUUAAAAUGUAGCGUAAUAAUUUGUUUUUUAAUUGAAAUCUGGAUGAAUGGUUAUACACUGAGCAACUAUGUUUUUGAUAUAUAAGUAAUUUGUAUUUUGAAUAAAAAUAUUUAAAUGUUUUUAAGGGACGAUAAGACCCUAAAAGUUUAAAUUUUAAUAUGUUGUUAAGUUUGUUUAUUAUUAAUAAAUAUGUUUAAAAUUAUUAUUUGGGGUGAAUGUCUUAUUAUAUUUGAGAUUAUUAGAUACUUACGUAUAGGCUUGAUGAUCCUUUAUAUGAGGAUAAUUAGUGUUAAUUACUUUAGGGAUAACAGCAUAAUUGUUUUGGUAAGAUCUUAUUUAUGAAUUUAGUUGUGACCUCGAUGUUGAAUUAAAAUUUCUUUUUGGCGUAGAUGUUGAUUAAGUAGGUUUGUUCAACCUUUGAAGUUUU